rnacentral:rRNA from 1 species
CGAGAGGGGGCAAGCGUUGUUCGGAAUUACUGGGCGUAAAGGGCGCGUAGGCGGCCUGCUAAGUCGAACGUGAAACCCCUGGGCUCAACCCAGGAACUGCGUCCGAUACUAGUUGGCUUGAAUCCGGGAGAGGGAUGUGGAAUUCCAGGUGUAGCGGUGAAAUGCGUAGAUAUCUGGAGGAACACCGGUGGCGAAGGCGGCAUCCUGGACCGGCAUUGACGCUGAGGCGCGAAAGCCAGGGGAGCAAACGGGAUUAGAUACCCCGGUAGUCCUGGCCCUAAACGAUGAAUGCUUGGUGUGGCGGGUAUCGAUCCCUGCCGUGCCGAAGCUAACGCAUUAAGCAUUCCGCCUGGGGAGUACGGUCGCAAGGCUG